rnacentral:rRNA from 1 species
GACGAACGCUGGCGGCGUGCUUAACACAUGCAAGUCGAACGGAAAGGCCCUGCUUUUGUGGGGUGCUCGAGUGGCGAACGGGUGAGUAACACGUGAGUAACCUGCCCUUGACUUUGGGAUAACUUCAGGAAACUGGGGCUAAUACCGGAUAGGAGCUCCUGCUGCAUGGUGGGGGUUGGAAAGUUUCGGCGGUUGGGGAUGGACUCGCGGCUUAUCAGCUUGUUGGUGGGGUAGUGGCUUACCAAGGCUUUGACGGGUAGCCGGCCUGAGAGGGUGACCGGCCACAUUGGGACUGAGAUACGGCCCAGACUCCUACGGGAGGAAGAAGUGGGGAAUAUUGCACAAUGGGCGGAGGCCGGAUGCAGCAACGCCGCGUGCGGGAUGACGGCCUUCGGGUUGUAACCCGCUUUCGCCUGUGACGAGCGUGAGUGACGGUAAUGGGUAAAGAAGCACCGGCUAACUACGUG